GGGAAUUUUCCGCAAUGGGCGAAAGCCUGACGGAGCAAUGCCGCGUGGGAGGUGGAAGGCCUACGGGUCGUCAACUUCUUUUCUCGGAGAAGAAACAAUGACGGUAUCUGAGGAAUAAGCAUCGGCUAACUCUGUGCGAG
rnacentral:rRNA from 1 species